rnacentral:lncRNA from 1 species
CGGACCCAUUCCCGACCUCCCCUGCUGCUGACUCGCCCGGAUCACGCCGAUCCAGCAAGGUUUCCUAGUGCCUCCGCGGUCCAAGAGCUAGGAACGCACGAGCCUGCGUUGACUAGAUCCAGCCGUUCUCAGUUGGGUUCAGUUAGCAUCAAGGUAUGGUUCUUAUAGUAAAAAAGCUCGUUGUGUAUGCACGUAGUCCAGCUGGUCAGUGCAAUUGUAUCCACCACGAGGUUUGCAGUUCGAAUCCCGACAACUUCGUAUUAUGCUUUAUAAUGGUCAAGGCCAUUUGGUCACAAUUUCUCUUCAUAGCCUGAUGGUUGGUGCCACAAGUUACAACCGAGAGGUCUUGGAGUCAAAUCGCAUAGAGACAUAAUUAUUUUGUCUUUUUUUUUCUCUCAUGUACCUCGUAGUAUUUUGUUAGUUGCACAGACCCCAUAUUCAUGCC